rnacentral:sRNA from 1 species
UGUUUGCGUUAGCGAUUGCAGUGGAAAGCCCGCAGCGCAUCCCGAUUUUUAUCGGGAUGUACGAGGACUUGUAACGGAAAGCGCGACCCCCG